rnacentral:pre_miRNA from 2 species
AGUGGGAUUGCUGGGUCAUAUGGCAAAUGCAUGUUUAAUCUUAUAAAAAAACUGCCAAACUCUUUUCCAAUGUUGCUGUGCCAUUUUGUAUUCCUAUCAGCAAU